GUACUUCUUGGCCCUUCUUUGAGCAGGCUGUACCAGAGAGGAGGGAGAGCCUGGGUAGGCAAGGCCAGGAGCUGCUUGGGAAAAGGCAGGAUGUGGCGUCAUCCUAGGUAGAAGGGAGGUUUCAGUGGCUUCGGUGGGCACUGUGAUGUAGCCUAGCUCAUUAAAUCCCACCAAGGCUGGGGCCAGAGAUGCCACUCACAGUCACUAGGAUAAAAACAAGAGAAUCUCUAGCAGGUCUAGAGCUGGCUGGAGCAGAAACUGCCAGAAAGUGUUUGGGGGGCACUCAGGUUACAAGGCUGGGGAGACCUGGGGGUGGAGUAGGGAAGGGCCCUUAGUCGAUUGCAUUUCCCUGGAGGAAGAGAAAUGGCUCUAAGCUGACCGAAUGACGCUUGGUUCUUAGAAGCAGGAGGAGGGCUACCUGCUGAGCUCUGGACAGGCUUCAGGUUGAUGGAGACAGUGGGCUUGGUCUUCUGCACUGGUGGCUAUGGGGUCUCGGGCUGCCAUGAGCUUUAGACCCCAGCAAGGCUGAGAUGGACUGGAGAGGCUCACUCAGAUGUUUUCCCUGGAAACUGUGUCCUCAGGUGACCUAGUUCAGCUGGAGAGGGGGCUGACCCCUGUUUUUGCCAUGGAUUCUGAGAGCAGCUGGGCAAGUGGCUUUGCAGGAAGGAGCUAUGUGACCAAGUCCUCCACUGACACCAUAAGACCCCGGGAGUCACUUCCCCCACAGAUCCCGCUCCCCACGUUCUCUAUGCCCUAUCUCACUUCCCGGAUCAUGUCAUCCAAAGAAAGCAGACACGGGAUGCAUCAUUUCUGAGAUCUUCUAGGUCGGAAAAUACUACUUCUGCACUUGACGUAUUGUGUGGUGAAGUUUUUGCUCAGUGCUGAAACGCUGUGUCGGCUCAUCUUCCAGCCUCCUCUGUUACUGUGGAAGGUCAGCUGAUGCUCUGGGCCUGAGUCCUGGGAUUGUGACCAUCUCUGUCCCUCCCAGAAACCAAGAGGGUCAUCCCCUUAAUCACCUCUGUGUUUUAAAAUUUCUUUCUUUUGGGUAUCUGGUAUGGAUACUUUUAAGUUUGGAAACUAAUUGAUAAAGUUUGCCCAUCUACCCAUAUCCUGUUUUCAGCCUCUCUUCCUCUGCCCCUCCCCUCUUUUGCCCCGCCCCUCUUCCUCUGCCCCUCCCUCUUCCUCUGCCCCUCCCUCUUCCUCUGCCCCUCCCUCUUCCUCUGCCCCGCCCCUCUUCCUCUGCCCCGCCCCUCUUCUCCUGCCCCUCCCCACUUCUUCCUUUCCUGCUGGAUCUUCUGAACUUACCUUUACUAUUAUUUUCCACUUUUUGUCAUUUUUUUCUUUCUAUACCAAGAAUUCUCUAACUUUUUGGUUUUAGACCACAUUUUGCCUCAGGACUUUGUUUUACACUCUUGAAAAUCAUUGAAGACCCCAAAGAGUUUAUGCGCAUCUUGCCCGUUAAUGCCGUUUACUAUAUGAGAAAUUAAUGCAGGAAAAACUUAAAAAUACCUAAUGGUUAAAAAAUGAAAAAUUGUAAUCUGCUAAUACAGUAGUUUGUGAAAACAUACUUUCCCAAACAACAGUGCUGAAAAACUCUCAUAUUUUUGUCAUUUUUACAAUGUGUAUGCUUGAAACAUUUAUCUUGUGUAUAUGCAUGUAUACACAAGAUAGUAUGUGUGUGUAUAAUGAAUACAUACAUACAUACAUAUAUGUGUGUACACCAUGUCUGUGUGUGUGCAGAUGCCCACAGAGGACAAAACAAGGCAUCAGAUAUCCUGGAACUGGCACUAUUAAUACUUAGGAGCCGUGGUGUGGGUGCUGGGAAUCAGACCUGUAUCCUCUGUGGGAGAAGUUAGUACCUGUAACCACUGGGCCAUCUUUCCAGCCCCCAAAUGCAUAUUUUGAUAGAAGAUAGGUAUGCUUUCAGUUCUCUCUGUGUUCUGUCUGUCAUAAGCGGUUUUGACUUUGAAAUAUAUAUAUAUAUAUAUAUAUAUAUAUAUAUAUUUGAAAUAUAUAUGUAUACACACACACACACAUACAUACAUACAUAUAUAUGAAUGGUUUCAUUCCAAUGUGUAGUUAGAAAAGGGGAAGGGUCUUCCAAUAGCUUUUCCAGAAAAUUCUGAGUGUCUUUCAGUCUCACGGUAGAACUUGGCAGGGGCCAGUUCGCAGUCACUUGGGGGUGUUGGCACGUCUUUGUUUCAUGUAACUGCCAUUUGGAAAACCGUGAGCACUAAGUCACAGGUCUUUCAGAUGUUAAGGCAUUUCUUUUUAGACUGUCAGUCAAUUAGAUGCACGGUUAUCAAUCACGACUCACAGGAGUCACUCGGGGCUCUCAAGGGCUCAGUGGUAGCUACUUAUUUAUUUUGUUCUUUUCUUUUUUUUCAGAGCUGGGGAUCGAACCCAGGGCCUUGCGCUUGCUAGGCAAGUGCUCUACCACUGAGCUAAAUCCCCAACCCCACAGUGGUAGCUACUUAUACCUCGAUAGCUGUAAGUUGUUUAUCAAUUCUUCUUUUUCUUCCUUUUGGUAAGAAUGGCACCAUAGCAUUAAAGCAAUUGGUGAAUCACACAGCAUGUAUGUGGUGCGUGUGUGUGCACAAGUGUGUAUGUGUGUAUACAUAUGUGUGUGUAUACAUGUGUGUAUGUGUGCUGAAGUGAGAAAAGAAGGUUGAAGAUGAAGUUGUACCACUCUUAACCUUUUCCCCUGGGAACAGGGGACCUCAUGAGCCUGGAGUUAGGCUUGUAGCUAGCAAGGUCCAUGGAUCUUCCUGUCUCUGUCGUCAGCCUUCCCCCCACCCCAGGGCUAAGGUCAUUGGUGCAAGCGAGGUCAUGUGACCCCCUUUUCCCUUUACAGGGAUGCUGAGGAUUUGACUCAGGUCUUCAUGUUUAUGUGACAAGUGCUCUUGCACACCGAGCUAUUUCCCCAGCCCCAGGAAAAACCCUCUUCCAACAGCCAUGGAGUCAUUUCUCUAUAGAGAUAGUAGGGCGGAUGGAGGCUGAGAGGCCUGUCUGUUUCAGGCUGCACACAUGGGGAUUCCUUUUGCCCCUGCCAGUGUGGAGACACUCUCUGGGUUGGCUUCAUUUCUGCCCGUCACUGCUGGAUCCAGGAGGAUCUGGGUCCAAGGACUCAAUGGAGGACCACGGAGUCCACAAGACAAGGUACGAGUCCUCCGUCCUGGGUCAUCAGACUCCCACUUGCUUUUUUUUAGGUUGUAUGAAGAGUGUGGAGGCUGACAGCCCUGGGAGGUCUCUGUGAGGCUGGCUGAGAGCGGGCCAUCCCUCUUCGGUUUUGAAGCUCCAGAAGUGUACUGAUCAGGCGCAUGACUCCCGAGUGCUGGAAGUACGGCUUGCACGACUGUGGCUGGGGGUCCGGGUAGCAUGUGGCUGGCUUGUUUCAGCUCCCUUUGUAGCCUGGAAUCUUCCGCCUUUGGUACCAUAUCACAGCCCCAGGGACCUCA